GAAUGCUGACAUAAGUAACGAUAAAGCGGGUGAAAAGCCCGCUCGCCGGAAGACCAAGGGUUCCUGUCCAACGUUAAUCGGGGCAGGGUGAGUCGACCCCUAAGGCGAGGCCGAAAGGCGUAGUCGAUGGGAAACGGGUUAAUAUUCCCGUACUUGGUGUUACUGCGAAGGGGGGACGGAGAAGGCUAUGUUGGCCGGGCGACGGUUGUCCCGGUUUAAGCGUGUAGGUGUGUGUUCCAGGUAAAUCCGGUUCACUUUAACACUGAGGCGUGACGACGAGGCACUACGGUGCUGAAGCAACAAAUGCCCUGCUUCCAGGAAAAGCCUCUAAGCAUCAGGUAACAUCAAAUCGUACCCCAAACCGACACAGGUGGUCAGGUAGAGAAUACCAAGGCGCUUGAGAGAACUCGGGUGAAGGAACUAGGCAAAAUGGUGCCGUAACUUCGGGAGAAGGCACGCUGACACGUAGGUGAAGUGAUUUACUCAUGGAGCUGAAGUCAGUCGAAGAUACCAGCUGGCUGCAACUGUUUAUUAAAAACACAGCACUGUGCAAACACGAAAGUGGACGUAUACGGUGUGACGCCUGCCCGGUGCCGGAAGGUUAAUUGAUGGGGUCAGCGCAAGCGAAGCUCCUGAUCGAAGCCCCGGUAAACGGCGGCCGUAACUAUAACGGUCCUAAGGUAGCGAAAUUCCUUGUCGGGUAAGUUCCGACCUGCACGAAUGGCGUAAUGAUGGCCAGGCUGUCUCCACCCGAGACUCAGUGAAAUUGAACUCGCUGUGAAGAUGCAGUGUACCCGCGGCAAGACGGAAAGACCCCGUGAACCUUUACUAUAGCUUGACACUGAACAUUGAGCCUUGAUGUGUAGGAUAGGUGGGAGGCUUUGAAGCGUGGACGCCAGUCUGCGUGG
rnacentral:rRNA from 1 species